GGGCAGGUAGCUCAGUUGGUAGAGCAACGGACUGAAAAUCCGUGUGUCGGCGGUUCAAAUCCGCCCCUGCCCA
rnacentral:tRNA from 9 species